rnacentral:lncRNA from 1 species
UACGUUCACAUCCGCGUGACCGAAUCACAUGCCCGCGUUUUGGAUCCGAGACAGACGGUUGCGAUUGCCUCACGUGCGAUUGGGAUUGUCACAAGUGGAUGCAAAGUUAAUGUGUACGCUUGACUGCAUUUAGGAAAUCUCUCAGACGCAUGGUUUUUCAACCCUGGUGUGUCAUCAAGGAUAAACAGUAAAUUUUUAUCUUAUGUCUUGGC